GCCCAGCUAGCUCAGUUGGUAGAGCAUAAGACUCUUAAUCUUAAGGUCCUGGGUUCAAGCCCCAUGUUGGGCA
rnacentral:tRNA from 2 species